rnacentral:rRNA from 1 species
GACGAACGCUGGCGGCGUGCCUAACACAUGCAAGUCGAACGGAGAAUAUUGAGAAGUUUACUUUUCGAUAUUCUUAGUGGCGGACGGGUGAGUAACGCGUGGGUAACCUACCCAUAAGAGGGGGACAACAGAGGGAAACUUCUGCUAAUACCGCAUAAAACUGUUGGAACACAUGUUUUGACAGUCAAAGAUUUAUCGCUUAUAGAUGGACCCGCGUCUGAUUAGCUAGUUGGUAGGGUAACGGCCUACCAAGGCGACGAUCAGUAGCCGGCCUGAGAGGGUGAACGGCCACACUGGGACUGAGACACGGCCCAGACUCCUACGGGAGGCAGCAGUGGGGAAUCUUCCGCAAUGGGCGCAAGCCUGACGGAGCAACGCCGCGUGAGUGAUGAAGGUUUUCGGAUCGUAAAGCUCUGUCUUCAGGGAAGAAAACAAUGACGGUACCUGAGGAGGAAGCCCCGGCUAACUACGUGCCAGCCGCCGCGGUAACAC